AAGGAGAAAGGGAAAGGGGAGGAGAGGAGAGAAUAAGAGAAGAGAGCCUGGGAAGAAGCGAGCAGAGAUGAGGAGGCCCUAGCAUCUAGAAGUGGGGAAUGCAGACUCAGAGUAAGAAGUUCCAAACCUUCCUUAGCUGUGGGCAACCAAGGACAUGUUUGGUGUUCCAGAGACCCUGCCAUAAUAACUCUUCUCCCGAGCAGGACCCAGUUAAGUACCUAUUCCCUCCAAGCCAGGAGUGAGAAAGAAGAGGUGUCUGUUUCUAAAGAAAAGAAGAGCUACCAGAGAGGAAGAAACAUAUCCUUCCUGAAGGCUGUGUUUCCCAGCCUUUUUGAAAUUGUUGAAAUACUACUGCUGUUAGCUGCAUCACACCAUGCUACUAUCCUUCCCAAUACUUACUAUAUUUUUAAUUAGAAGUUUUAAUUAAAGUCAAUUAGAAUUA